CCUACGGGGUGCAGCAGUGAGGAAUAUUGGUCAAUGGACGAGAGUCUGAACCAGCCAAGUAGCGUGAAGGAUGACUGCCCUAUGGGUUGUAAACUUCUUUUAUAUGGGAAUAAAAUGUUCCACGUGUGGGAUUUUGUAUGUACCAUAUGAAUAAGGAUCGGCUAACUCCGUGCCAGCAGCCGCGGUAAUACGGAGGAUCCGAGCGUUAUCCGGAUUUAUUGGGUUUAAAGGGAGCGUAGGUGGAUUGUUAAGUCAGUUGUGAAAGUUUGCGGCUCAACCGUAAAAUUGCAGUUGAAACUGGCAGUCUUGAGUACAGGAGAGGUGGGCGGAAUUCGUGGUGUAGCGGUGAAAUGCUUAGAUAUCACGAAGAACUCCGAUUGCGAAGGCAGUUCACUGGACUGCAACUGACACUGAGGCUCGAAAGUGUGGGUAUCAAACAGGAUUAGAUACCCGAGUAGUC
rnacentral:rRNA from 1 species